ncrna:unclassified sequences S4-Fusobacteriales ribosomal protein leader
UUGUAAAAGUAUGUUUGGCUGUAGAGCUUAUUCCUUAUAAAACUUAUGUAAGGGCAUAUUGAAGAA